rnacentral:rRNA from 1 species
UACGAAGGGUGCAAGCGUUACUCGGAAUUACUGGGCGUAAAGCGUGCGUAGGUGGUUUGUUAAGUCUGUUGUGAAAGCCCCGGGCUCAACCUGGGAAUGGCAAUGGAUACUGGCAGGCUAGAGUGCGGUAGAGGGUAGUGGAAUUCCCGGUGUAGCGGUGAAAUGCGUAGAGAUCGGGAGGAACACCAGUGGCGAAAGCGGCUCACUGGACCACAACUGACGCUGAUGCACGAAAGCUAGGGGAGCAAACAGG